UCAUAGAGACGAAGCUUUGGAAACACGUCUCAACUCACGUCUCGAUCGAGCUAACCGAGCUGACGACUGACUUCCACCUGCACACCUCGUCAGUCACACUUGCUUCUCGCAGUUGGAGCCAUCCUUCCUGCUGCUGCCUGGAUUCGGUAACCUCGACGUGAAUUAGAAGACGUGACGUACAUACUCUUCAUUACGUACACGCCUGAGCUACUUAUAUUUGUGUUGUAUUUUGGUUUCCAUCUGAUGAAGGCAAGUGGACACAAAUUGCUACUGAUUUCGACACCAUUUGAAAUUUUCCUAACUGCCUAGAUGCAAUAUAUGCUGUUACUCGCUUCGUUCCUCCUCCUCACACGCUUCCGAAACACAGAGGGUUCGUACCUAACCCGACCUACGGGUAUUACGUGAUAGUGUUGGCAGACUCAGCUGUUACUCGACUGCGUUCUCACGACUACCGUGGUCUCUCCAGCCAAUCUACCCUGCUCCUGGGAACUGCUGCUGGCCUCAGCCCGGUUAGCAACUCUGCUGUUCCAAUAUUCUGCUGUUCUUCUCUACAAUCUAGCCUUACUGGUUGAAUAGACUGUAGACCAGAUGUGUGCCUAGCCAUACAACAUUCCUUGGCUACAUUUCCUCCAUGCUACCCGUGACGCCCCUGACCUCGCCCUCCUGGAGGCAACACUUGUGCUCGGCCUUUCGCCUCGCUACAUUACGUGACAACAUCAAGUGUUGGCAGGCGAACGAGUCUACCUGCUCGUUCCCCUUUAACCCGUGGCCUGCCGUUGCUAAGUGCGUCUGACGCCAGGGAGGAGCGUGGAUUACUACAUCUUGUGACAUUUUCUUGUGCUGCAAUAUUAAAUGUGAUAGUUUUCCCUCUCUUUUCACUCUCGAUAUCCAACCCAGGGGGCAGCUGUCUUCACCCACCUUAUUUGGUAGCCCGUAUCCCUCACAAAAAUUUUGCAAUGAAGACCUGCACAUCCCGCCACCUGCUGUACCAGAAGAGUCACAAAAUGCAUUAUCUUCCCUCUUCGUUGGAUAUGAGGACUUUGCUCUCAGGAAAUUUCAUGAAACCUUACUCACAAAAGGAAUGCCAUGCCAGGAAAGUGUUUAACUACUGACUGUGACGUGUAAGGAGAAUUGUGAAAAACGCUUUUGGUGUCAUAUCAUCACGGUUCCGCAUUCUUCAUCAUGACAUUGAACAUGUACAUUCGACAGCCAUGACUUGCUGUAUUCUGCACAAUUACCUUACGAAAACUAAAAGAGAUGCGUAUUGUGAAAUCGAAGAUACAGGUCAGGAGGGAAGUCGCAACAGGCACGCAAGAAAAGAGGCUGUGUAAGUGGGAGGGGUGGAGGGAGUUUCCUUGAAUACUUCAAAACGAAAAUACUGUAAUACGC